CAGUAGCCGCGGUAAUACGGAGGGUGCAAGCGUUAAUCGGAAUUACUGGGCGUAAAGCGCACGCAGGCGGUCUGACAAGUCAGAUGUGAAAUCCCCGGGCUUAACCUGGGAACUGCAUUUGAAACUGUCAGGCUGGAGUCUUGUAGAGGGGGGUGGAAUUCCAGGUGUAGCGGUGAAAUGCGUAGAGAUCUGGAGGAAUACCGGUGGCGAAGGCGGCCCCCUGGACGAAGACUGACGCUCAGGUGCGAAAGCGUGGGGAGCAAACAGGAUUAGAUACCCCAGUAGUCCAUGUCUCUUAUAC
rnacentral:rRNA from 1 species